rnacentral:misc_RNA from 1 species
GUAGGUGAACCUGCGGAAGGAUCAUUAUUUAAUCGAAGAACUGUUGUUGCGGUCGCUACUCAGCACCGCACGCAGGUCGGCCCCGGACGGUUCAAAGCUAGAGUCCCCCUCGCAGGCUCGAAAGUUCCCGGCCGGAGUGAAGCCAACACCCUCCUCCAUAGGGGUGAUUGCACUUUAGCGACAGGUUGAGCAACCGGCCUGAUGAGAGUCUGCUGCCCAUGGGUGUCCGCUAUCUCUAUUCAUUACAUUC